CUCUGCUGAUCUCAAAACGAAGGCCGUAAGCCUGCUGACUCCGUCCAAUGAUAUCUUCCAAGAGAUCAACGUGUCAGGGGAUAGCAUCACGUUAAAGUCCGUCACACCGUUGUGGACUCGUGAACACACCGCAAAGUUUGGGGAAGCUUUCAAUGAACCUGACUUGGAAGGAAAAGGUGAACUGACGAUUGUAAUCAAUCAGGAAGGUGAUAAGCUCACAGAACAGCAGACUGGAAAGUACACAUCCAACAACGUCAGGGAGAUUGCCGGAGGGAAUCUCGUCUACGUCAGUAUUCACUUGAUUUGACGGUGUUCUUUUUGUGCCUCGAAAAAGUACGUGUAUCAUCCCCAAAACUCGAAGCACGUAAAGAUCGACGUCGAGUUUAUAUGUGGCCUUAAGACGUAAAAAGGCGAGCGACAAAGUCUAGGUCGGGUUUUGAAUCGCGGCCUCGAGAUUUGGGGGUGAUAACAAUGCUUUUAAAUGGCACAUAAUACGCUGUUGUUAGCGAAGUAGGGUUCAGAAUGGACCCGUGCCUUGUGCUAAGAGUUGGUGUGUGGGGAAUCGUAUUUACGGGGCUACGGGAUAAUGUCCCUUCCCUGAAGUACCAUAAAGCUUAUUCUGGAUUCCUUUCCAGUCAUACGUGUGAAGGCCUGCAGCAACUUGCGGAUGGCCGUGGGUUUCCUCCGGUCUCUGUUCGGCUGCGUUCAACAAUAACGCUGGCCGCCGUCGUAUGUGAAACAUUUUUUAGUUUGGCGUAAAACGUCAAUAAAAGAAAUAAAGGAAUAUAAAAAUGGCAUUGAGGACGCGCUGAUAUAAAGAGCUGGAAAAACCAUUUUAUUCCCCCCCCCCUCCUCCGGUUGAGAGUUGAAUAGAUCCGUUGGCACCUUCUCUUUGGUUACCUGAUCUUGCAAGCAGGAUUUCUGUAAAACUUACUUUUUUCAUUUUCAUCACCAUACUUAUAAUCAGGUUAAAUUUAGACUUUUCAUUUUUUUAUUGGAUAUUACUGAUUUUGUAAUAAAGACAAAUGUAAAUACAACUCAAUGUUUCUGAUCUGUGUUCCAGACUUUAAAAGCCAAUGGUGUGUCAUGCGUGAGGACCUAUCAGCGGGUAUAAUUCUUGGAAUCGGGGGGUGGAUUCGCCCUCUGUAUUAUUGUAUUACCGGUGAAUUCGUGAAUCUGUAACACCAGCAGGAUUACCACUACACGCCGAUUCCAAGCUGUACUCUAUUGUUUGCUUCUCUUUCGCUUCAGCUGUCGUAUACACACACUUGCAUGUAAACUUAACCGUUAUCCCAUAGCAGAGUGAAGCCAGAUGUUACAUACAGGCUUGCUUCAAUCAGAUUCAGGGCUUUCCUCAGUAACGAUUCAGCACAAAAUAGAAGACAACAGUUGAUUUGGUUAGUGUGUACCGUUGUUUAUUCCUUAACAAGCUGGUGUAUAUAAGCUGAACUGUUCCAUACAAUCGGACUGAAUGUAAAUCUGAAGGCUUUGAAAGUAACUGGCGGUAAAUUACAACCUUGGCUUCCAAAAUAUCAUUUGUAAUGAAAGCAUUGCUCGGGGCAAACAAAAAAGGCAAAAUUAUUUUUAGACGUUGCUCCCCAGUCGUUAAGCAUUCUUCAAAGCAAAGUAAAAUGUGCGUGAAAUAAAUUUGUUCUGACCAACUGCUGGUUUAUAGGUUCAAUAUGUUUCAGGUAUUUCAGGUAAAAACAAAGCCAAAAAAUUUCAGUAAACUGAGUUUGAGUUGUGCAAAGCAAUCGCUGAUCAUUCAACGUCGCUCCACAAAUGACAAGGAGUGGAUUAAGCCGAUAGGCAGUGUAUUAGCUGGGAUUAGUUUUAUCAUAUGAAAAUAAACGACAGGAAACAUUUGGAGUGCUUUAUUUCCAGAAGCAUAUAGCAAUUAUAAUUGUAGCAACGAAGCUGAGCCAUGGAUUUAUGUUUGUCAGCAAGAACUGUGUGCAUCUUCUGUGUGUUACUGCAAAUAAAGUAAAAUAUGUUCAAA